GGAAGAUUGGGUGAGUGGCUUAAACCAGCAGUUUGCUAAACUGUCAGUCAGAAAUGGCUCAGAGGUUCGAAUCCUCUAUCUUCCG
rnacentral:tRNA from 2 species